GACGUAGGGGACGAGCGUUGUCCGGAUUUAUUGGGCGUAAAGCGCGCGUAGGCGGCUGCGCAAGUCGGAUGUGAAACCCCGAGGCUCAACCUCGGAACUGCAUCCGAUACUGCGUGGCUAGAGGUAGGUAGGGGAGAUCGGAAUUCCUGGUGUAGCGGUGAAAUGCGCAGAUAUCAGGAGGAACACCGGUGGCGAAGGCGGAUCUCUGGGCCUUACCUGACGCUCAGGCGCGAAAGCUAGGGGAGCGAACAGG
rnacentral:rRNA from 1 species